UUUUUAAAAGGAUAACAGUUAUUUUCUAUUGGAGAGAUCGGAGAAGAUACUGAUUCUUUUACUUCGGAAAGUAAGGAAGGGUAUUUCGACAACAGACAGUUCUGAUCCACAAGGGACUUUCUGGCGGAUAGAGAAAAUAUGGUGAUUCGUAUUAAGGCGUAUCAGAGAGUCUGAGACUUGAAUUAAACUUUCAGACGUCUUCUACUACUCGAGUUGUCGACUGAGGCGAUAAAACCAAGGAUCUACACACUCCAGUUAAUAGAAGUGUCCCCUAUCAGAAAAUAUUUGCCCAGGUGUUGCACAUUGAAGGAUUCGAUUCUCGUACUUUUAAGGAAUUCCGUGUUGGGAUCGUAAAAUAGCACAGUAAGUCCAAAAAAGCCAAUCUGGUGCCAUCUGAUAACCAUUGCGAUGAGGCAGCUGGCAUAAUACCGUGGAGAGUCACACAACAACUCAACAAGAUGCAUAUCAGCAGUGUACACUGCUGUACAUAAGGAAAAGUGCACGCCAUCUUCGGAUCAAUUAUCACCUCUAUCGGAAAACAAUGGUUUUAUAAAACUGGAUAAACUGGAAGUGACCCGAAAAACAAACGGACUUGGUGAGAGUGGUGAAAAGAGACAUGUAAUCACCAUUCUGAUGGUCAGGAGUAUUCUCAUUGGUAUAAAGUCAAAAGCUUUAUCCGCACUUAAAUUCCAUCUUUCUCCACCAUCGUCAGAUUCUUUGGAGUGAUUAUUCUUAUCGAUAUUCUAUAAUCUCGAUUUUUUUUUAUGAGUGCACACAAUAGUAGCUUUCUUAUACCAGUAUCAUCUUCAGGAACGCAAAAGGGACGCACCUACGCGAAUUAGGUUGAAAAGUACACACGGAUACCUUUAGAAUCGUCGGGAUGGAUGACAUUUCGUUCGGAACACAAUAGAAUCGAUAAAUCUUUCCCUUAAGGUACACUCCCACGUCAUAUGUAGAAGGCGCUCUGCAGACCCGAUUUCUUUAUCGAAUGCUGCGAGGACACGUGUAUCUGCUGAUCUAGUAAUCUCGAAAUUUUUCUAGAUAGAAAUGCCGUCAGAUAUUCUAUAUAACUUAGGGGUAUCGCGAAGCUUAGUCUCAUUAAGACAUAUUUGUUUUUUUAAGGAAGUGGUAUCAACGUCACUGAGUGGUUACAACUCUUUCUUCGAAGUGCUGAAAUAAGCACCCUUCCCAGAAAAAUAAUCGGGUUGGUAUGAAAAUGACCCAUCGCUUUGUGAUUAACUUACGGAAGUUGGCGCUCGUUGAGCACUGGCCUGCCACAUUGAUUUUGGGAAGCUGUGCCACUUUGUUCUAGGUCAAAAGCAAACCUAUCGGCUAAUAUCACUUAAACCAGCCUAGCAUCGUUUCUUUCUUUAACACAGUUUCCUAAUUUAAGCUAUUUACUUUCACUUACAACAGGAAAUAUCGGAAAGCCCAGAGAUUGUGUGGCGGCCUUGGCUGCAAUGGCGGUGAAAAAUAUUAAAUUGUUCAAGAAUAUCACCAGACUACAGGCACUCUUCUUUUCAUUGGCUGACUUUCUUCUCACAGAAGCUGGUUACUUUGACAAUGGCGACAGAGAUGGAGACUCUGCCUAUCUCAUUCAGCAGAGUGAGAGAUAAACUGCUUCCAAGCAAUCGUUUAGCAUUCGAUCAUGGUAGCCUUUCAUGGCCACAAAGCCAAUCUGACACCAUAAUCAACAAAGCGUUGUCCAUUUAUACUUAUUUUCCGAUCCAUUUGACAUAGGGACGAAUAAUAACUGUCUACAUUAUCGGAUUACGGAAUUCUAUUCUCGGACAAACAUCAAUAUACGUCGCGAUCAAUCGUUUUGCGCACAAAUAACCCUUGAUUUGGACACUAGGUCGUGUAAACGAAGUAAGCGGAACAGAUAAUUGCGUUUCGGAUUCUAACACAGGAGAGGUGCAACAGGGGACAUGUUGAUAUUGAAAGGUAUUGGAGAAAACUAAUAAUCAAAGCAUUGUUGUUCGAUCUUGACCUUCUCGAGUUUUACUGAAUCCGGGAACUGUACGUAUGUUUUGCUUCUCUCGGUUAUUGACUUAAAUAUGACUAUGAUCAGAUCAGAGCUUGCUUUGGUAUCAUUUCAGUAACCAGAAGACCAGAAACGCGUGCGUUCGUCGGUGCAUUGCUUACCGUAAACGAAACAGAUAAUUCUCUUGGUGCCGUAACAUGCUCUACAUCCAACUUCACCUCAACUGGUAUGACUGAUUGUAAACAGAAUUAAGUUUCCUUUUAACAUCCUGUUAGCGGACAACCGACAGGAAAAACUUGUCAACUCAAACGAGAAAUAAUGUUGCGGCGACUGACUUAUUGGGUAUGGAGAUGUUAUUAGAGGUUUUUCUGCAGAGGGUUGACUCUGAGGAUGAGAAUUGCAUUUAGCCUUUAAAUGCCAGUCGUCUUGUGUGUCACAGCUUGAUAAGAUUUUAUCGAAUUUGUGAUUCCCGUAUGUACGCUUGUGGGAAGUGAAGACUAACUAAGAGUGCGAAGCAGACAUUUUAAAGGCCAAUUCGAUUGUGUCUGCUUAUAUCUAAUUUCUCUCAUAUCGUCCAGUCACUCUUACAAAAAAAAAGUUUAACACUGGAAAAAAGUGCAAACGAAAUUCUCUCAUUUUGUUGUCAGUCUGGAUGGUCUUGGUUACGUUGAAUAGGAAGUUUACCAGGAUUUGUUGGGUGAACGUACAGCUUUAUACAAGUUGUUGCAAGAAGGAGAAAUUUUCAAUUAAGGUGGCAGUGGAAAAAAACAGUUAUUAGAGGAUUACUUCGCUGAAUAUAGAACAAAGAUCGGUGAUAUAUGAUAUUUGAUCUUCAGUCAUAAAUGUUUCUGACGCAAGUGUUGUUUAGAUGUGGACAUCCUAAUGAAAUAACUACGAGGCAUAACGUAUCAAUAAGGGAUAAGAGAUAAAUUUAUGGAGAUGUGAAAUCAGUUUCAAUUCUGAUCAAAGGAUAGGUCUUGUUACAUUGCUAUCAAGCUGGGUUUGUAUUCUCCAACCAAAUUUCGAUGUGAAUUUUCUAGCAAAACAAUUGAUACCAAUCUAGGUAGGGUUUGAUAACAUGGAUAAUAAUUCAUUCAAAAUGGCGGCGGAGCAUGUGAAAGUUGAUGUCAACAUCACAGACGGAUCAAACGGCAGCCAAUUCGAUGCAAAUUACCGCCUAGGCAUAAUUACCAUGGAAUAUAUAAAAAUUCUCGGAACCGUUGUUGGAGUGUUAGCCUGCGUUGGCAUGGUAACGAAUAUUCUAAGUCUCGUCGUGUUCACGCGUGUGCGAGAAAGAACGAGCACAACUUUUCUCUUGCAGAUUCUGGCCAUCGCAGACUCUAUGUUUCUCCUCAUGAAUCUACUCGUUUUUACUGUCAUGGCUGCCUUUCUAAACACCGGCCAACACAAGCGAUAUUUUCAAAUAUUCGGCCCGGUUUGGCCCUAUAUGAAAGGGGUUAUGGAAAUAACGCGAGAUUUCAGUGUUUGGAUGGUAACUGUGGUAACGAUGGAUAGAUAUAUAGCUAUAUAUUACCCACUGAGCGCAUCGAAAUUAUGUCGAGUCGCUUCUGCUGCGAUGGGCGUGGUACUACUCCUUGUUUACGUUAUAUGUUUCAGUAUUCCGCGCUUUGUGAGCAUUUCUC